UACGAAGGGGGCUAGCGUUGCUCGGAUUUACUGGGCGUAAAGGGCGCGUAGGCGGACAGUUAAGUCGGGGGUGAAAGCCCGGGGCUCAACCUCGGAAUUGCCUUCGAUACUGGCUGUCUUGAGUACGGGAGAGGUGUGUGGAACUCCGAGUGUAGAGGUGAAAUUCGUAGAUAUUCGGAAGAACACCAGUGGCGAAGGCGACACACUGGCCCGUUACUGACGCUGAGGCGCGAAAGCGUGGGGAGCAAACAGG
rnacentral:rRNA from 2 species